rnacentral:rRNA from 1 species
UACAGAGGUGGCGAGCGUUGUUCGGAUUUACUGGGCGUAAAGGGCGCGUAGGCGGCGCGGUGUGUCGGGUGUGAAAUCCCAGGGCCCAACCCUGGAAGUGCGCCCGAAACUGCCGCGCUGGAGUGCGGGAGGGGAGAUCGGAAUGCAGGGUGUAGCGGUGAAAUGCGUUGAUAUCCUGCAGAACACCGGUGGCGAAGGCGGAUCUCUGGAACGCAACUGACGCUGAGGCGCGAAAGUCGGGGGAGCAAACAGG